GGAGAGGUGCCCGAGUGGUUGAAGGGAACAGUCUUGAAAACUGUCAGGCCUGCAAGGGUCUCGAGGGUUCGAAUCCCUCCCUCUCCGCCA
rnacentral:tRNA from 1 species